UGGGGGGGAGCAGGCAGGCAUCCAAGUCUUACCCAGGUCCUAAGCGUCCCCACCCAUGCCCUCAGGAGUGGGUAAAGUUCCACAAAGAAAGGACGCUGGCUCACUUCCCAUCUGCCAGGUCUCUGAGCACAGGACGAAUGGGAUCAGGGAGGCUGCUCCAGACCUCACUGGGCUUGAUUUUGACCCUCUCUGGGGUAAAAAAAAAAUCCUUACUUUCCUUACUUUGAAGUCCUCUCCUUGUUCUAGAGGCUUCACAGCUGAAGAUGGAGAGUAAGGGAUAUGAAGAGACCCCUGGCUCACUGGGUUCCUCCUUGCAGCACCUAGUUCAGGUUUCCUGGGGAGGCAGAUACUCUGGUGGCAAGGAGAUAGCUCUACUUUGGAAGUUCCACCUCCUUUCUGCAUUUCCUUUCCUAAUGCCUUAAGCUGCCUGCCCACUGAAGCACUGACAUCCAUGUUUGUGUGCUCUUUGAGGGGAGCCACAGGGGGAGGAGGUAGGAAGGGGUCUUGAUGAAAGUAGACGCCCUAGAGUCAGGUGCACUAAAGGUGGGACAUCAGGCAUUUUCUAUGGGAGAAGUUGUUAAAGUGGACAGGGUCAUCCUGGACCAAGACCAACAGUAGCCAUAGCUCAGGUGCCAUCUCCAGCCAGGGGAUCCCCAGGAUUGAAGAGGGUGGGGUCGGACCCACUGGAUGAGAGGAGGUGUGUGUGCCCCUCUCCUGUCCACAGUCACUGGAUCCCUAACCUAGGCUCUGUGCUGCCUUCCUUCCUCGAAUAUUUUCUCAGCAACUCUGGAGAUGGGACGGGAGGUUGGCAAGAGGCGAGGGCCAAGAGUUAUAAAUAAACAAACAAGAAUGCCCAAGUGACAUGGUUGGGUGGCCUUGGGCAAGGGACUUCAUCUCAAUGGGCAUCAGUCCCUUGGGCCUAUAGGAUAGAAUAGAGAACACAGGGAAGUGGUGGUGGGGUGACUCCCUGUGGUCAGUGGUGACUCAACAGGGGAUAAAUUUCCUGUCUUUCUGUUCCAGUGACAGCAGUUGGUGAAGCGGGGCAGCAUGUACUGAAUCAGGCCACAGAGGCUGGACAGAAAGGUUUGGCAGGGCUGGCGGGGAGGAAUGAUGGGCAGCCCCAGCCACUUCUCAACCCUGCUUCAACCCUGGACCAUCCUCUCCUCUGCAGGAUUCUCUGCCUAACAAGGACCACAGGCAGACUUCCUGGGGAGGAAGACCCCUUCUCUUACCCACACACCCUUCUUUCCUUUCGCAGCCAUGGACAAUCUUGGCAAGUCUACCCAGGAAGCCAUAGACAAAGCUGCUAACCAGGCCUCUGACAGCGUCUCUGGUCUAGGGAAGAAAUUUGGCCUUCAGAAAUGACGGAAGACAUGGGCACUUCCCUCCAGGACCUGUUCAGCAGAACUUGGCCCUAAGCUCUGUUCAGCAGCUACCUCUUUGGUUUGCCCUUCAUUAAAGCUCAUGAUUCCACACUGUGUCUACUUAGUG
rnacentral:lncRNA from 1 species